AUAAUUACCAUUCAUAAAGUAGCUGUUAAAUGGUUGUUCAUCUCUGAAUUAAAGGCCAAGUUUCCAACAACCUGCUGUCUAGCCCUGCCUCUGUGACCUUAGGAAAAGGCAUGGAGACUUCUAUCCCCAGUGGAUUAGAAAAAAAGAAAAGACUUCUUUGCCUUGCUGGCCACAGCCCUCUCACUGCAUCCUCCAAGUCAAGGCCAGAAGUGACGGGGAGACGAAUGUCGUUGAGUGUGGCCUGCACUCCCGGACGUUGACCUCUUCAAGCCUGGCCACCAGAGCCAGGAGUUCUAGUUCUCCACAGUCUCCGAUGCUGCCAGUCAGCAAUGGCAGGACAUUCCACCUAAAACCAUGUCGAGGGUGGUUUCAACCUCAGGAUCACCCACAAUUUAAACACUGAAUACACCGAGCUCCCCAUAUCCAAUUACUGAGGUCAAAAAAGUUGGGUGGGUUGAGGGAACUUGACAUGAAGCCAUGUCUAACCCGGCACCAUUCACAAAGCAAGUGGCAUUCCCAUUUAGUUUAUGUAUUUGAAGUCAUAUCUGGUGACUUCAUUUUCAAUAGAUGCAUUUUUU